UACGUAGGGGGCUAGCGUUGUCCGGAAUCAUUGGGCGUAAAGGGCGCGUAGGCGGCCACCGCAAGUCGACUGUGAAAUCUCCGGGCUUAACCCGGAAAGGUCAGCCGAUACUGCGGGGCUAGAGUGCAGAAGGGGCAACUGGAAUUCUCGGUGUAGCGGUGAAAUGCGUAGAUAUCGAGAGGAACACCUGCGGCGAAGGCGGCAUCCUGGACCGGUAUUGACGCUGAUGCGCGAAAGCCAGGGGAGCAAACGGG
rnacentral:rRNA from 1 species